UAUACUCAAGAAAUCAACGGCAAGCUAGUUUGGAAGAUUGUGUGGUUGGCUCCGCUCCCUGACUAGUAAUUUCAGUUUCCUCGUUGUGACGCUUGUCAUUCAUGAUUCCAUGCAUUCGAAAGUGUUGUUAGUACCAAGGAGCAUAAAUUGUUCCUCCUUGAGGAACCUUAAACUAUGAUCUCAGAUCUAUCGGUGAAAUAAUUGAAGAGAGAGGCAUGGGUGGAAGCUGGGUUUAAGAUUUUAGAGUUUAAUUGGAAACUUUUCCCCAUUUAGUUCCUUAA